GUCCACGGCCAUGCUACCCUGAACAUGUCUGAUCUUGGAAGCUAAGUAGCAUCAGAUCUGGUUAGUACUUGGAUGGGAGACCACCUAGGAAGACCAGGUGCUGUAGGCG
rnacentral:rRNA from 1 species